rnacentral:rRNA from 1 species
AUUGAACGCUGGCGACAGGCCUAACACAUGCAAGUCGAACGGUAGCACAGAGAGCUUGCUCUCGGGUGACGAGUAGCGGACGGGUGAGUAACGUCUGGGAAACUGCCCGAUGGAGGGGGAUAACUACUGGAAACGGUAGCUAAUACCGCAUAACGUCGCAAGACCAAAGUGGGGGACCUUCGGGCCUCACACCAUCGGAUGUGCCCAGAUGGGAUUAGCUAGUAGGUGGGGUAAUGGCUCACCUAGGCGACGACCCCUAGCUGGUCUGAGAGGAUGACCAGCCACACUGGAACUGAGACACGGUCCAGACUCCUACGGGAGGCAGCAGUGGGGAGUAUUGCACAAUGGGCGCAAGCCUGAUGCAGCCAUGCCGCGUGUAUGAAGAAGGCCUUCGGGUUGUAAAGUACUUUCAGCGGGGAGGAAGGCGGUGAAGUUAAUAGCUUCACCGAUUGACGUUACCCGCAGAAGAAGCACCGGCUAACUCCGUGCCAGCCGCCGCGGUAA